UACGUAGGGUGCGAGCGUUGUCCGGAAUUAUUGGGCGUAAAGGGCUCGUAGGCGGUUUGUCGCGUCGGGAGUGAAAACCCAGGGCUUAACUCCGGGCCUGCAGUGGGUACGGGCAGACUAGAGUGCGGUAGGGGAGACUGGAAUUCCUGGUGUAGCGGUGAAAUGCGCAGAUAUCAGGAGGAACACCGGUGGCGAAGGCGGGUCUCUGGGCCGUAACUGACGCUGAGGAGCGAAAGCGUGGGGAGCGAACAGG
rnacentral:rRNA from 1 species